rnacentral:lncRNA from 1 species
GUUAAUCUAAUUAACAAGUUGACUUUAGGGUAUGAGGUUUGAAAGCUCCCCUAAAUCUUAUAGUUUGUAAGGUGAGUUUUGUAAGCUCCUUCUGAAUUCUAUCCAAAUUAAUUAAAUCUAUUUUAAAUUCAAAAAUAAUUAAAUAACUCAUCACUUAAAAUUAAAUCACAUUACAAUUCAGAGGAUAAGAGAGAGAAGAUGGUUCCUAAGUCAAGUUUUAAGUUAACUUAGUGUACUCAGAGCCUUGAUGCUAUUAUGUCUUACUCCUCCUUUGUCAUCAACAAAAAUUAUUGAAAAGAGUAAGAAAAGAUUGGAUAAAAAUAUGAGAAUAUAAACAUCAGAAGCACAUAGUGAAUUAGAGCUAGAUAAACAUUCAGAAGCACAUAGUAUAUCAAAUUCAAAAAAUAUUCAGAGGCAGUUAAAAAUAUCAGAAGCAAGGCAAAAAUUAAUAGGGUGUGCAAAUAUGUUUCUAAGGUUGUUGUUGCUUCUUCAUCAUUUCCAAGAUAACAUCUAUUUCAUCAUUGGUUUGAUGUUGCUUCUUUUCCAGUUCUACCUGCUCCUUAGCUAACUGAACUUGCUUCCUAAGAGAUUCCUCAUGGUGCUCCUGCAUCUUCCUUUCCAAUUCCUCUUGCUUUCUUAUAAGUUCUGUUUGGAUCUCAUUUUGAUGCUUUUGUACUAACGUAACUUCCAUUAGUUGAGCUUUCACAGCUUCUGUACUCAACUUUUGUUCCUUCAUAUCAACUUGCAUAUUAUCUUGAACGAGAACUACUUCAGGAUUUUGACUCUUAAGAAUUACUUUGUUCAGGAUUUGUAAAGAACUUCGAUAAUAAAGAGAUAGUUAGAGAGAGAGAGAGAGAGAAGAGAGAGAGAGAGAGAGUUAUCCUGGUUCCUUCCAAAAUUCGAAAGUAGUCUAGUCUCAUGUCAGUUACAGAAGUCUUUUCGCUAUAAUAACACAAGAUUACAAUUGCUCAAGCACACAAGCAAGACACUUAUAACAAACAAGAAUUACAAGGAAAUAAUUGUUUAGUUGUUCACAAUAGAAAACAUGUCAUACUCUAUACUUAGGAAUUUCUAAGACAUGAAAGUUUAUUAGAAAUUCUAAGUGUUUGAUGCUUAAAGAAUUUUGACAGAGUUUUGGCACUUGCAAAAUAUUAAAGAGUCUCUGCAUAUCUUCAAAUCUUCAUUCCUUUAUAUAGAGGUAGGAAAAAGAUGUUGUAGAGGUGUCAGCACAUCAAAGAGUCGUUAGAGAAGAUUGAUCAAUCAACAUUGAUUUGUCGCUUGAUUUGGUUGAUGUCCUAUGAAGGAAUAAUUUGAAAACCAUUCCUUGAUAGGGAAUUAACCGUUCCAAUCCAGUAGAGACACAAUUGUAGCUUGUACUAUGCACAUGAAGAUGUUGGAUUAGUGGUGGCAAUGGUUGUACUAUUGUACUAUUUGUCCUUCAAUGUCCUUUCUCUGAGAAUAAGCAUCCAAAGCUUUCUAAUUCUUCAGAACUAUCAUUGCGCCAGUCUUUUAUAUCCUUCUGCAUCUUUGUCUCUUCUGGAAGAUGAAUUCACUUGUUUUUUCCUUUUCUAUUUUUUUUUAUUUUCAAUUUCUUUUUUAAUUUAUUUAAUUUCGAAAAUGAUUAUGUUGAUUUUUUAAAUUUUGAAAAUGCCACUUAGGCGUUGACUUGGUCAAAAUUAAUCAAAAAGUCAAUAUUGCAAAGGGGCUAAAUCUCAGGGGGCCAAAUUUUCAUUUUUUCUAUUAGAGGGCCAAAAUCGCAACAUUGGCAAACUUAGGGGGUCAAAACUGUAGUUUAGCCUAGAAAAUAACACAGAUUUUAACUCUAAAUUAUCACUAACUCAGUAUCAUACUCUAAUAUAACACAUAAUUUAACCCUAAAUUAUCACUAACUCAGUAUCAUACCCUAAUAUGAUUAAUUUCUUCAUCAUGAAUUUCUAAUUCAACAAUUAUUUUAGCCUUCACCAAAUACAAGAUUUGAGAUAAACAUCACCUUUAACGGAGAGAUUCGGCGAAGGAAAGAGAGAUGGAGAAAGUGAUUCGUGCAGAGGAAGGAGGAAGGAGAUCGAGAGAGCUAAUCAGGGUAUGGAGAGAGAAUUACGGGCCGUCGGAGCAAAUGACGGAGAGAGAGCUAUUGGCCAUCGGAGAGUGAGAGAUGGAGAAAGCAGUUCGCAUGGAGAAAGAUGGAGAAAGUUCGCGUGGAGAAAGAUGGAGAAAGUUCGCGUGGAGAAAGAUGGAGAAAGUUUUUCUUUUUUAAUUGCCUUGCCUUGAUCUAUUUCUUAGGGUGUGUUUGGUAAAAAAAAAAGCUAUAAGCUAGCUGAUAGCUGAAAAGUUAGCUUAUAGUUGAUGGCUAAUAGCUGAUAGCUUAUAGCUGAAAAGUUAGC